GGACGAUCAUCUCACUGCGGAUCAUCAUCUGGAACACAUGUGUUCAGAGUGCGAAGAGAGCUUUGGCUCUGCAGAAGAGGCCAAAGAGCAUACUCUUUUAGCUCACGAAAAUGCUCAAACAUUCGAUGAUCCAAAAAUUAGAAAUACUAGGUAUUGUUGUUAUCUCAGAGCUAAAAUAAAUAUAAUAUUUCAGAAUUGUAGAUUCCAUAAUUGCAGCAGUGAGAGUAUCCGGUGAUGUGAUUGAAGAAUUCAAUUCAGUGAUCAUGCGAGCGGUUAUUCGUCAUUGGGGAAACACGAGCACGGAAAAGCUGGUAAGGAGCAGAUGAUAAUUUUAUUUUAUCUGAGAAUGCGUUUUGCGCAAAAUAUCUUGUAUCGAAAACUACAGUAACUUUUUCAAAGACUACUGUAUCACUAGCGGCGACUUACGGAAAUCAUUCGAUAAAAAUUAAAAGAAAUCACAAAAAUGACAACAACUUGAAUUUCGCUGUCACAAUUUGAUCAGAAAAUUACAAAUAGCAAGCCAAUACAUCGACGCCAGUUCUACAGUAGGCAGUUCAGGUUUUUUAUACAGUUAAGUAUUAUAUUAAAAGUAAAAUAUUAAAACUGUCACCUUAAAUUUGAAUCCAGCCAAGCCCGCGAAAAACUCCGCUCGAUUUCGGAUGCCGAAAAUUGGCUCGAAUCGAGAGAUAUUCGGGAGAUGCUGGAAUCAAAUAAGACCUACUUUCUUUUAGAUUUCCGCCGAUCACCACAAAAAUGAAAAGAGUGGGUAAUAUAUCGCGGCCGACAACCCACGGGUUCCGCGCCUCGCUAUAAAUUAAGUAAAUUAAGCCACGCCCUUCAAAAGCACACCAACUGAUAGGGUGUGGCUUAAUUGACUUAAUUUAGAGCGAGGCGCGGAACCCGUGGGUUGUCGGCCGCCAUGUAUUACCCACUCUUUUCAUUUUUGUGGUGAUCGGCGGAAAUCUAAAAGAAAGUAGGUCUUAUUUGAUUCCAGCAUCUCCCGAAUAUCUCUCGAUUCGAGCCAAUUUUUGGCAUCCGAAAUCGAGAGGGAAUUUUUCACGGGCUUGGCUAAAUUCAAAUUUGAUGUGACAGUUUUAAAAUUUUGAUACUCUUUUUAACGAAAAAUUAUUCGAUUUCAGAUUGCUGUCGUUGAUUCUCCAAUGAUUACUCGUGACUUCUAUAUCGACUGUUUUGAAGCUUUAAAGAUGGUAGACUAUUCAUUUGUAUUUAAACAAUGAAAUAAAAUUCGAAAUUUGCAGAGAUACGAUUCUGGAGAGAAGUCCAUCGAUCUUCUCUGUCGUUUGGCAAAAUUGUGUACAAAAAUUGGAAAUUUUGUUGAGAAGGAAAAGAGAAAGGACAUCAUAAUCAAAGGAAAGAUGUACGCUACCGAAGCCUGGAACACCGAUUCGUACAACAUCUUGGCUGCUCAUUGGGCCGCUGUGAUGUCAGGAAAGGCAAUCGAAUAUCUUGAAGGCGAUGAAAAGAAUCUGGAGAUGAGACACUGCAGACAAUAUCUCGAUCGUGCCAUCUCUAUCCAGGCAGGAAAAAAUGCAAUGUACAAUAAUAUUCUUGGCCGUUGGGCUCUUUCAGCACUGGAGAUUUGGGAGUCUGACCGACAACAGUUAAUUCAUCAUUAUGCCACCCCAUAUGACGCUAUCGACGAUGCCAUUUAUCAGUUCAGAUCCGCUUUCGAUCUCAUACCGUAUUGGAUCGAUAAUAUUGUACACCUGGGCAAAGCGCUUCUUUACAAUGAAAACAAAGAAGCCGCCAUUGGAAUGUUUCAGCUCGCACUCAAAAUGGACCCGUCGAACGAUAUCGAGAAAGAGUUGCUCGCCGACGCCCUUGACUUGUGCUCAAUUUGAUCCUUCUUUUAUUUCCAUUUUAUUUUCUGUGUCUCAUUUUUCCGUUUGCACUUUCCUCCGUUUUUUUAUUGUAAAAAUUCCGUAAAAAUCGGCCCAAAAUUCCCAUUUUCAGGGGAUUCUUGGAGCCCAACUUCUUUUUUUAAAAAUUUGGAUUUUUAAAUUUUUCCCCGAUUUUCUAUAGGAAAUUCCAAAACAUUUACUGAAAAAUAGAAAAAAAAAUGGCCAGAUUUCUCGAAAAAAUUAAAAUUUUUGGAAUUUUUCUGAUUUUUAGCUAAUUUUUUGAAAAAACUGGCUCAAAAAUUUUUUUUUGGUAUUUUUUAAAGAAUUUUUAUUUUUAGAAAAUCCGUGAAAAUUGAGGGAAAUUGAGCCAGAAAUUUGGUAUUUUGGAGCCCAAAAUCUGUUAAUUUUUAUUUUUAAAUUUCCACGAAUUUUAAGCUAAUUUUCUGAAGAAGUUGGCUCAAAAUUUCGGUUUUUUGGAAUUUAUUUUUUUCCUGAAUUCCUAGAAUUUAUAGUGUAGUUGAUCCGGAAAUUCUAUUUUUCUCAAAUAAUUGAAAAUUUUUACUUUCAGAAAAUCCCUGAAAAUUGAGUGAAAUUGAGCUCAAAAUUCAUAUUCUUCUCAAAAAAUUGAUUUUUCUGUUGAAACUUCCUUGAGAAAAUUUCUAGAAGAAGCUGGCUCAAAAUUUCGAAUUUUUGGAAAGUUUUUGGAAUUUUCAUAAUCAAGUUUUUUUCGAAAAAAUUGAAAUUCCGCCGAGUUUAAGCUAAUUUUUAGAAUUUUUCUCAGUUAACGGUUCUUUUCUAGUGAAAAAUUCCAAAAUUUAGAAAUUUAAAAAUCCCUUUUCCCCUUAUAAAUUGCCCCAAACAUUUCCGCUUCAACCAAUUUUUCAACAUUUUUAUUCUAUAUUUAACGGCUAUACAAAAAAAUCGAUAAUUUCUCAGGUUUUCACCUCUAUUUCCUAUCUUGUUCACACGCCUCGGUCCCAAAAUUUAAUAGAUUUUCAGGCCAAAAAAACCAAUGGGGUUUUUACAAAUUCUUCAAGAAUGUCGAGCCGAAGGACUAUGGCCAAUUGGGCCAUCUUGUAAUAAGGUGCUGUGAAAAAUUUGGAAAAAAAUUAUUAUACAUUCGUCGAAAAAUUUCAUCUCAGUUUAAAGGCGCACACAUUUUUUGUACUUUGGGUCUCACCACGAUUUCGACUUUUUGAAGCUUAAAAUCACUAAAAAUUACGUGGAUCGUGGCAGGACAAAAAAGUGUUAUUAUACAUUCGCCAAAAAAUGCCAGCUGAUGAAAGGUGCAUGUUUUUUGCAAAAAUUGCAAAAAAUUACCAAUCGAAAAAAAAAACUCAUAUUUUUCCGAUGGGUCUCGCCACGAUCUGCGUCUUUUGGAUCCUAAAAGAACCCAAAAUUAUGUGAAUCGUGGCGGGACCCAGAAGUGUAUGCGCCUUUAAAAUAGGAGAGUAUAUUUUUGAGAAUGUGUAAUAAUUUAUUUUUUUGCUUUGAAGAAACUUUUUAUCAUUUUAUGAUAAUAAUAAUUUUAUUAUACAUACGUCGAAAAAAUGUCAUGGCAAUUACCUUUAGGUCUCGCCACGAUCUACGUCUUUUGGAUCCUAGAAGCGUCCAAAAUCACGCAAUUCGUGACGAGACCCAACAGUGUAUGCGUCUUUAAAAUAAGCUUGCAUAAUUGUGGGAAUGUAUAAUAAUUUAUUAUUGUAUUUUUUCAAUUAUUUAUUACAAAAAAAUGUAUCAAAAAAUUUUAUACAAAUCAACAAAAAAAACAAAAACAAUUUUUUUCGUGUACUCCACACGGACAACAAACUGUAGUUUUACAACUAAAACGCGCCGUAAAUCUACACAAAAUCUCUCCGACCCAAAAUGGCCUAAUUCGGCAAACUCUGCCAUUUCGAUUCAUGAGGGAAGCCAGAAUUCCGUGUUUUAACCGAAAAUUCCAGAGUCUAUCAAAAAAUUCCAAUUUCACCUUUCUACCGUAGUCCAGCGCGGGAAUUCAAAAUUCUCACGUUCCACCGGUCUCCCUUAUCAAUAUAUAUAUCAUCCUCACGGGGUUCUGGCUCGACCCCCCUCUCGAAAAUUUUGGAAAAUGGCGGGAAAAAAUAUUUGAUCUCGCAAGAGGAAUUUUCACGCAGCGCGUUGAAAAAGUGUAUGCAUUUGCGCGUGACGGUGUUUGCACAAAAUACACCGAGGGGUCGAGCCAGAACCCCGUGCAUCCUCCCAAUCACUUUCACUGGUUACUUUUUCAUUUUACCUUUUUUUUUACGAAUUUCCGUUCGCGAAACCAAAAAAAAAAUUCCAAAAAAAAGACCGGUGGCUAUAAUUACAGUACUGCUAUUUUCGCAUCGCCAAGGGGGUUAGAUCAGGGGUGCGCGGCAAUUGCCGUACGGCAAUCGAAUUGUCGGCAAUUUCGGCAAUUGCCGAAAUUGCCGAUUGCCGAAAAUUUUGAAAACCGGCAAUUGUCGAAAUUGCCGAUUGCCGGAAAUUUUCGAUUGCCGCGCACCCCUGGGUUAGAUGUUCUUCUCUCCUAUGUGUGUAUAUGUGCUAUCAGUCGAGUACUGAAAAUUGUGCAUGAUUUUUCAAAAAAAAAAAACCACCCAAGUCUUGACUCCUUUUUUUUCGCUGUUUUUUUCUGGAAAACUCAAAAUAUUUGUUCUCUAUUUUUCAAUAAUUUUGAAAAAUAAACCUUUAAAUUGGCUCUCGCCACGAUUUUAGCGGGUCUUUUUUUUCAAAUUUUCAAAUUAUAUAUUUUUUUAUUUAACAAUUCCAAUUUUUACCGAUUUUCAUUGAAAAUUGGCACGGGUUUCUAAUUUCCCCCCUGUUUUCAAAUGGAAGAGGUGGCCGUGAAAAAAGCGAACCUCGACCGGGGGUCGCGACCGGGAAAACUCAACGAAAUUUCGCAUUUUCGUUGCUUUUUUCGGUUUCAAAACACGUUUUCGUUUGAUUUUGUAUUAAAUAAAAUGCAAAAUCGAUUGAAAACGUGUUUUGAAACCGAAGAAAGCAACGAAAAUGCGAAAUUUCGUUAAGUUUUUCCGGUCGCGACCCCCGGUCGAGGUUCGCUUUUUUCACGGCCACCUCUUCCAUUUGAAAACAGGGGGAAAUUAGAAACCCGUGAAUUGGCGAAUUCUCAUUUAAAAAGUUUAAAAAUUGCUUGAGACUUACAGUAGUUUUAAAGGAGCAUGCACAAAUUCUUGCGAUGGGUCUUGCCACGAACUCUAUUCUUCGAAUUUUAAACUCAAAUUUAAAGAUUUUCUUCUCAUUUUUUGCCUAAUAUUCAUCAAAUCUAUUGAUUUUUCUUGCAGAGAAUGUGCCAGGAGGCUCGCCACGUCAGCUUCUAAAUAAUCAACACUAUUUGGAGCAUCAAGAGCCCCCGCGUCAAGCAAUUUUCAACGCAACUCUCCAAAUUCAACAGGAAAUCAAAAACAACGAAAACGGCGGCAUGAUGGCCCCCAGUACUGAGGUUAAUUCGGAGAAAUUUGAAUUAGAAGGCUAAUUUUUACGAUUUUUACCAUAAAAAUCCGUUAAAAACCAUAAUUUUUCCAGGAUCCCGAUACGGUUGUCGAGGCUCAACGUCGUGGAAGCUUCUCGAAGAAAAAGAACGCAAAUGGGUGGAAUAAGGUCGAACUUGUCGAUCAGUGUGUGAGUUUGUGUGACUGAGAAAAAAAAUCUAUCAAAAAUCGAAAAUUUCUACUGUAAAAACGAGAAAAUCUCGAAUUUUCACGUUUUUCAGCGAAAAUUGCCGCAAAAGUUAUAGAUUUUUGAGAAAAUGCCCAUUUUUCAGACAAAAACUUUUAGAAAAAGCGGAUUUCUGACGAAAAUUUGUGAAAAUCGAAUUUUCCCUUAAAAUUGGCUUAAAGAAGGAGUAUCGUCAACGGGGAAAUUGUUUUAAAAUGUAGUAUUGGUGCUCAAACUUCCAAUUAUUACAGAAGAAAAACGAGAAAAAUCCGUUAACAUUGAGCAUUUAGCCGUUGAAAUCGACGAAAGUGGCUGAAUUUGAAUUUAGCGCGCAUAUGAAACCUAGGCCACCACACGAUUUCUAGGCCAUAUUCGUUCAACAAAAUAUUGAUUUAAAUGUAAUUAUUUCGAACUUUAAUUUGUUUUUCUUUCUCAAAAAGUUUAAGAAAACUGAGAUAAAGGAAUUGUAUUAAGUACUUAUCAAAAAUACAAUACACAACAGAAUAAAAAUUCGAUUGAUCCUGGCACUGCAACUUUUUUUGAACGAGGGCCGAGGAGAAAACGUUUCGCGGCCGUGGCCGAGGAUCCGACAAUAUUUCGCGUUUUUUUUCUCGCUUAUUUUUUGUUGUUUUCAUGCACGGCCUCCCGCACGAGAAAAGCGCACACUCUCUCACUUUUUGUUUGCGCGUUUGCGGACGACCACCUUGCCUCGCCGCCGCUUUCAACAGAGAUUCAUGAAAUUGAGCCAGAAUUGCUAUUUUUGAACGAAAUUUCGAAUUUUUUUCACAGAACUAGUGAAAUUGAUAAACUGGGAAGUCGGAAAUUACAAAAAAUAGUUAAUACGAGCUGUUUUUCAGUGAUUUUUCGCAAUAAUUAUAUGGAAUCAGAAGUAUUCUGGGCAAAAAAGCAUUUUUUUAGAUUGAAAAUUGUUAAAUAUAAUACUAUCAGUGUAUUUGAACGGUUUAAAUAAAGAAAAUGUGUACGACUGUGGCUUCGGGCUGAUUCUCGCUCUUCUCGUGGCAAGUGGAUGUAUCGUAUGGACUUUGAACAGCUACAACUUUUUUCGCGUUGGAGAUAGAAACUAGCGAUAAACUGACAAAAUGAACAUCACAAAUAGGUGAACAUUUCUUUAGUUGACAAUUUUUUGAUAUCUCGUUCCACUAAAAAGAUUCAGCUAUGAUUAGAUGAUUGAAGUCUCAGAUACGGUACUCUCUCUUAAAACCAUCAAAUCUCUGUUCUCGUUGAAGAUACAAAAAUGUGUUCAACUGAAAAAAUGUUAAGCAGAUAAAAAACAACAUUUACCAGCAAGAACUACAUUUCUAUCUACAAAACUAAUAGAGAUUCUGACUUUUGAAAAGUGAUUAUCUUAAACCGGCCAUGUCAACAAAUCCUGAACAUUAACAUUGAGUUUUCUAUUGGAAACAUACUCUAUAUAAGAUAUCUAACAAAUUUGUAGUUGACUACUUUCUUCUAAUGUCUUUAUUUUUUGAGAUAUGAACUGAUCUCUGAUUUUCUCAUAAAUACGACUUUCGAGGCUUGUAACAAAUUUGUCUUACUAGUUAGAAAAAUAUUGUCAACAGAAGAAAUAUUCACCAUUUCAAACUGAACAUUUUGUUAGUUAACAAUUUUUUUGUAACUUUUAUAGGAGCGGAGAUAGGAGCAUCCAAAGUGUGAGGGCGCAGUAGAGUGGGUACUGUAGGUGCCGCCACCAACGCGCGCAGCCUUUGGCAUGACAUAAGUCCCUUCAAACUGGACUAAUCCACUUUCCCAAAAAUGUCUUUUAACUGGAAUUGAAAUACAAACAAUCCCUAACCACCGAAAUUUUUACUUUAAGUCAACUAUUUUUGGAAAAUUGCUAAAAAAAAUUGAAAACCUCAAAAAAUAGCCAAUUUAGUACUGAGGUGACUCUUCAAAUAUUAAUAACUUUCUCAAUUUCGGUCCAUUUUUUGAAAUUUUUAGCUCAAAAUGUUGGCAAUAAAAUUCUCUACAAACUUAUUGCGUCCGAUUUUAUUGUUCAAGCCAAAACUUUUUUGCAAAGUUCGAAAAAUUCCGAAAAGUGGUCCAUUUAGCACUGAGGUGACUCUUCAAAUAUUAAUAACUUUCUCAAUUUCGGUCCUUUUUUUGAAAUUUUUAGCCCAAAAUGUUCGCAAUAAAAUUCUCUACAAACUUAUUGCGUCCGAUUUUCAAUAUUUUAUGUUUCACGAUCCCUGCUCUGCUGGAAGUGCUGAACUUUCAAAAUGCAAACUUUUGUUGGUCGAAAAAUUAGAGCUUUAAACAAUUUUUUCGUCUGUUUUUUAUAUUGUCCCGAUAGCUUAACAAGAGUGGAAUAAUUUUUGUUUAAAAAAUAUCAUAUAAUCUUCGGAGUUGGGCCAAAGUUACCGGGAAUCCGUAAUUUUUAUUAUUUUCAAGAUAUUUCGUUUCGUGAUGAAGAAAAUUAUUCCUAUUUUAUUUCAAACGAAAGAUAAUUUCAUUCCUAAUAACCUCCAUUUGUUUAUUUUUCAAUUCAUUCAGUUUCCUCCAUUCCAGACCCAUUUUAAGAUAGCCGCUUGGGCGCCUACUCUCGCCAUGCUGUGGAGGUGAGAGACGCAGAGUCACUUUUUUUCUCUGCCGUCUCUCGGCGCAUUUCACGCGCAGGAGGCCGUGUUCAUGCGUGUUUUUUGUCAUUUUUCUUCAUUUUUUCUCGAUUUUUUUGACAUAAUAUUUGAAAACAAACAUUUUUUUCAGGAAAUUCACAGGAAAUUCGUCAAACCGCUGUCUCCGACGUGUUUUGAGGACAAUUUAAGAGGUAGCAUAUUAAAAUCGAUAUUCAAAAUAUUUCAUCGGUGGAAUGUUUCAAAACCUGAUAGAUAAUGUCCGCCAGGACGUCUUCUGCAAGUUUUAUAUAGCGAUUCCCCAGGAAUUUUGGGUUUUUAACCAAAAAAAAAAAUUUUUCCAAAAAAAUGCACUGAAAAAAAACGAAAUCGAUAUAUUUAAAAUAUUUCAUCGGUGGAAUGUUUCAAAACCUGAUAAAUAAUGUCCGCCAGGACGUGUGCAUACGACUAAACUUGAACCCCCCAACUUCCUGAAAUUAAGUUGUUUUGCGGUGAACUACUUAUUCCUAGACUUUAAAUCCUCUGUGAAUUCCUUGGCAAUGCAGAAAAAAAGAAUGCAGUUUUUCAGUAGCCAGAUCUCCGUCUCCUUUCGAUGAUUCAAAAGAAUAAUACAAGUGAUUGAGCAGCGGGCGUAGCCAUUCUCUUACUGGCUCCAUCUGCUUCUGAUUCGCUUUCUAAGAAUUUGUUAUGAAAUAUUCGUAUCAGUAAGGAAUAAUUAAAGUCUCAACCCUUAAUGAGUUACCUGUCGAAACGUAGUCUGCAAAUUUUUCACAAAGUGCCAACCGUCGAAAUAUUGGUCAAUGUUUUGGAACUUUUCUGAAAUCAAUUUGCAAACUGUUGAAUCACGGUCAGUCGUAAUCGAGUUAAUGGCCACCCCUCUAUUAUCAUCUUCCACUGUUUUAUUGAAUCUUCUCAACGCUAUUUCCAGAGAUUUCGGCUCCAUAGCUUUCGACGAAUCUAAGGAUAUGAUAAUAUAAACAUAGAGUAGAAAUAGUACCUGAAUGGUUCACUUUUCUCAUUAGCUCAACCUCCACAACAAAAUUGGUGUAAACACAUAGGAGUGCAUAUCUACAGUAUUUCGCAGUAAAUCCCCGAGAAUCGUACAUAGCGUCACCAGCUAGAUGAAGUCCACCAUUCUGAAAUUUUAGAGUUCUGUGGAUCCGUUUUGUGCUCGUUGAACCUUAAGACUUUCACAUAAUACAAUUUCCGUUAUUUCUUGUUGCAUUUCAUCGUAAAUUUUGUUCACCUCUGGCUCGACGUGAGCUUUGAUUAUUUUGUAAUGACCGGUUUCUCGCAGAGCCGGAGCACCAAGCCAAUGGAAAAAAUCAAACACUUUCUGAAUUAAACAAAUAGCGGCUAAAUUAGGUAGAACCAUACACUGUAAGAAGCUCCAAUCAUGGCACAAGUUGUCGAAAUAUCUCGAUUUACUUGGCACUCUUUCAAGUUUUGAAUUUUCUUAGAAGACGACCACGUCCAAUCUCUACGGCAAUCAUAGCAUUCUAACGAAACCUGUGAUUUAAGAAUAUUUACAAAAAGAAAACAUUGCUUUUUACCGAAAUCGAUGCACCAUAUGUGUCAAUUUUCUGAGAACAGACAUUUUUGCUUGAGCAAUAUCUGCAUUGUAGAAGUAAUUCUAGAAGUUGCGUAAAAUCGACUAAAACGUAGCUAUACGUUUUUUCUUCAUCGAUUUCGCAGUCCGUGUCUUCUUCAUCGUUCUCUCCUGGACUAUAGUCAUCACCAGACCCAUAUUCAUUCUCCGGAGAAUUGGAUUCACUUUCGAAAUCAUGGAAUUCUUCUGAUUCUUCUAAUCCAAAGGCUUCAGCGUCUUCUGUCCAGUCAUCUAGUUCUUCUCUACGUGACUGUUCAUGAAUCAAAAAAUAAAUAUUCAACUUUUUUAAAGGUACAGUAGCGUGAUUUCACUUCAAAAAAAUCCAAAACAGUCUUAAUUUCAGAAAUAACCCAAAGAAAAACCUUUUACUACGUGGCCUAGAAAAAUCAAAAACUCGGCCAAGAUUUAUCUGGGAUUUUUGACGUGGGAUGUUUCUGAAAUUUGACGAGAAUGCUCUCGAAAGGGGGUUCUAUAGUUUCACCGUGGCGAUUUUUGAGAAAAUGUUCCGUAUCCAUGUUAUGAAGGUGGCCGAGUUUUCUUAUUUUACGGCCACGUAGUAAAAACCGCUCAAUCAAGUCAGAUCCUACAUAAAUGUUUACUCACCAUGAAGUCCAUUUCAUCACUACUGAUUUCGGUGGAAUUUUUUUGAUUUGUGUCAUCAGUUGUCUCAUCGAGUAAUCUUUUCCUAGAGUUUUGAAAAUCUGAGCCAUGUGUGUACUGACACUUCCAGAUUCCUGGACUGACACUUUCAGAUUCCUUCUUUUCCUGUAAUUUUUAUGAAAGGAUACAAUUUUUCACUUUCCUGAACUGACAGGUGUUGUUCGAGCCUUUCUUCGAGUCAAUUUUGAAUCAAUUCCCGAAAACUCGACGUCGUGUAGAUGAAAACGACAGAUGUACACAGCUUUUUUACCCUCUAUAUUUUUAGCAAAUUCAGCCCCUAGCACGUUUAUCCAACUCUAGCGUUCUUCCGGUUUGAUUGGAACUCGUGUAACCUCUGAAGGCGGCGUGAGCCUGAAGCAAUACUGGCAUCGUUUAUCUUGAACCAUCUAACCUAAAAUAUAUUUGAAAAUCUCUCGAAUAAUUUCUUUUUAUUUUCAAUAUAGUCUAUUCAGUUCAGAACUUGUACAUAUGAGCACGAUACAAUUUUUAUCAAUUAGUGUGACAAUUUUUUUUUCAAAAAAUGAUAUAAAUUGUAACUUUUUUAAUACUUUAAUUUUUUUCCAGAUUUCCGGCGAUCUUCGACUUCUCGGUGGCACUCGGUGACGAACUUCUGCUUCUAAUUUUUGUUUUGUUUUAAUUUAAUAUUUUUUUCCAUUUUUAAUAGUAAAUAAUAUAUUUAAAACACUCUUUUUCAGCAUUAAUAAUUCUAGAGGUGGUGGGGGUCUCGUGUUAAUAGAAAUUCACACGAAAGCGUCAUUCUUUUGAAACAUAGGGAUAAAGUAUAAAAUUAGCUAUUCAUAUGAUCCGAGCCCAAUUUUUCCAGAAUAAAGAUUUUUAAUACGAAAUUACUCAAAAAAAUACCUGUUGAUUUUUUUUUCAAUUUCACAAAAGCUUUUUAAUUUGGUGAUGAAAAUUAUUUAAUUUAUCAAUACAGGUCAGUAUUUUAUUCGUUUUCAUAACUUUUAGUGAAAAAAAGUAUAAAUAGAAACUAUUUUUUAAAAGCUAAAACAAAGUAAAUCUCAAUAAGCAACAAUUUCAAUCAGAAACGCGGAGAAACCAGCCCAAAGAGUUAUUUAUGCUGAAAAAGAACUUUUUUUUUCAAAAUUUUCAAUAAAAAAAGGCUAAUCCGCUUUUUUAAUCAAGAAAAGCAAUUAAAAACGAAUUUCCUUGGAAAAAUAAAAUUAAAAAGCACAGCGCGCGCUGUUUAGCGUGCGGCGAGAGCGGAGUGUCGUUGCGCGGCAAACUUGGGAAUUUAAAAACAGCCUUAUAGG
rnacentral:sRNA from 1 species